UACGAAGGGUGCAAGCGUUAAUCGGAAUUACUGGGCGUAAAGCGUGCGCAGGCGGUUAUGUAAGACAGUUGUGAAAUCCCCGGGCUCAACCUGGGAACUGCAUCUGUGACUGCAUAGCUAGAGUACGGUAGAGGGGGAUGGAAUUCCGCGUGUAGCAGUGAAAUGCGUAGAUAUGCGGAGGAACACCGAUGGCGAAGGCAAUCCCCUGGACCUGUACUGACGCUCAUGCACGAAAGCGUGGGGAGCAAACAGG
rnacentral:rRNA from 1 species